GGUACUAUAGUGUAGCGGUUAUCACAGCGGAUUCUGAUGUCACCAUCUUCCGUUAACCCAGGUUCGAGUCCUGGUAGUACCU